AUUGAACGCUGGCGGAAUGCUUUACACAUGCAAGUCGAGCGGCAGCACGGGGGCAACCCUGGUGGCGAGCGGCGAACGGGUGAGUAAUACAUCGGAACAUGCCCAGUCGUGGGGGAUAACACUUCGAAAGAAGUGCUAAUACCGCAUACGUCCUGAGGGGGAAAGCGGGGGAUCGCAAGACCUCGCGCGAUUUGAGUGGCCGAUGUCCGAAUAGCUAGUUGGUGGGGUAAAGGCCUACCAAGGCAACGAUCUGUAGCUGGUCUGGAAGGCUGAUCAGCCAACAUGGGAAUGAGAAACGGCCCAGAAUCCCACGGGGGGCAGCAGUGGGGAAAUUUGGACAAAGGGGGGAACCCUGAUCCAGCCAUUCCGCGUGAGUGAAGAAGGCCUUCGGGUUGUAAAGCUCUUUCGGCAGGAACGAAACGGUGAGCUCUAACAUAGCUUGCUAAUGACGGUACCUGAAGAAGAAGCACCGGCUAACUACGUG
rnacentral:rRNA from 1 species